CGCGGGUUUCCACUUGCACCACCAGAGGUGCAACUGGUUCUUUGCUCGUAGGCAUCUUGAAAUCUCUCCAAAUGAUGCAGAAACUUUCGCGUGCUUGGCUCCUGUCUUUAAGGCCAGGCACCGAUUUUUCCGCUGUCAUUCCCUCAGCAGAUGGAUUUUUGCCACUGCAGCUCAGCAGAGGGUGUCAGAUCUUUCAGUGUGCACCAGGUUGAAACGAGCAGAGCCUCUUAGCAACUCUCCCUCUGCGUGCAUCACUGAACUCCAGGAGAAGAAUUCUCUGCUCUUUUCUUGAACUCAAAAGCUUCAGAUGUAAUGAAAGAAAAAUGAAGCAUCUCUUUUCCUCAGGCUCUGAGAAUGGCAGCAUUAGAACAGUAAGUAUAGUUUGUCCUGAGGCAGACCUUGUACCUUAUUUCAUGAAGC
rnacentral:lncRNA from 1 species